CUAUCCUUCAGGAAGAAUGUGAAAAGUGUAUAAGUAGUAAGUCAGCUUUAGAAUAAAACUUUCUCCUUACUAUUCAAGUUAUUUGUGUCUGAAUCCCAAAUGACUACAGAUUAGAGUUAUAGGUCUGCAGUGCCACACAGGUGCAAAGAAUAAAAGCGCUCUGCUUACCCUCUCCACCAGGACUGAAGCAAAAACAACAGCGAGCUAUCUGUGAAAGCAAAAGCAACAGUCAGGCGGCUUGUGUUCUAUUUCUAGUCCACCUCAGCAAGACAACAGUAACCCUUAUUUGAACCACCUCCCAGGCCCUUCAAAAGAUGUGGACUGUUCUUUCCCAGGUGUGCUGGGUGUUGGUGACAGGAAACCCCAUGGAGGGAGAUGUGCCACAGAGAUCCUCAUCCGUGGACUUGGUGCUCGCUCCUGCUACCAUGAAUGCUGAGAGCAGAGC
rnacentral:lncRNA from 1 species